rnacentral:tRNA from 1 species
ACUUAUAUAGUAUAUUGUAUAUUACAUUUAACUUCCAAUUAAAAAAAUUAUUAUUUAUAAUAUAAGUA